AAUAAUAGUUAUAGUCUUUAAACUUAAAAAAUUUGGCGGUAUUUAAAUCUAAUUAGGGGAAUUUGUUUAUUAAUAGAUAAUCCUCAAGAAACCUUACUUUAAUUUAUUUAAUUUAUUUAUUGCCGUUAUCAGAAUAUUUUAUUUGAAAAAUUAAUUUUCUAAUAUUUUUAUGAAAAAAUUAUUUCAGGUCAUCAUGUAGUUUAUAUUAAAGUUUAAAUGAAUUACAAUAAAUUAUAUUUAAAUGAAUAUUGAAUUGAAAUAUUUGAUUGAAAGUGGACUUAAUAGUAAAAUUUAAAUAUUAAAUUUAUUUGAAAUUAGAAUUAAAU
rnacentral:rRNA from 1 species